ensembl:lncRNA
AACAAUUUGAAAAUGUACACAAAACUGUUAAUUUAACUUACUUUCUUGUUCCAACAGCCAGGCUUCCUGCAAGGAAUCAUUUCCCAAAUGGGAGUGAUCGCCUCCACCGUGACCCCUGCAGAAAGAAUGUGUACUCUGGUUUUAGAUGAGAUGGCCGUCAAGAGGCAAUUUGACUAUAACAAGAGAAAUGAUGCCAUUUAUGGCGUAUCUCCCUUAGGCCAUGCUGCAAUACAGGCAAUGGUCAUCAUGGUUGGGGGCAUUUUGGGGAAGUGGAAACAGGCAAGCCAACAACAUUUUUUGUUGUUUUAAGACCAUUUUUUUUACUGUGUAUAUCAAAAACAUUUACCUAAAACUUUGUCCUUCAACAGGCCAUGGGUUAUUUCUUCUCCCCUGGUCCUAUGGCAGCCGUGGAAAUCGCCAGCAUCAUUAAGGAUGCCAUUCGGAACCUAGAACAUAUAGGGCUGACAGUAUGUACUGGACAGACUUUUAAGCAUCAACAUUAACAAUCUACAAUUACUAACAAACCAAAAUGUAUUAACCUAUUUCCAAGGUGCAGGCAGUAAUAUGUGACCAGGCAACGACUAACAUCAAGGCUUUGCACCUACUUGGGGCCACCCUGGACCCGCUGGGUGGCGAGGAUUCCCACUGCAUUCUGGUAGGUGUUCAGAGGGUUCCUGUGGUCUUCGAUGUCCCACCCCUACUGAAGUCCAUCAGGAACAACCUCUUCAAAUAUGGCCUAAAGAUCCAAGGCAAAGAUGUUUUUUGGCGACAUAUUUCAAACUUUUAUGAGCUUGACAAGCUCCACACCAUACGCAUGGCGCCAAAGCUCACUGAGUGGCACAUAUUUUUUGCCUGCAUUUUCAAAAAUGCGUGUUAGUUUGGAAACACAGGUGUUUAGUCACACCGUUUCUGCAGGUAAAUCAUCUUUGCAAUAACUAGUAGCAGAUUUUGAAGAUUAUAAUGUAUACUGACCUCCUAUUAAGUUCUCACAUCUGUUGUGACCCAGGCAUUUCAGCAAUGGUGUCACUGAAGAGGCUGCUGGCAGAAGCAAAAGACACUGCCGAAUUUAUUGCCAGAAUAAAUCGCCUUUUCGAUGUCCUGAACUCCAGGUCUGCCAAGAAUUCAAACCCCUGGAGACAACCCCUUGGUACAGGAAGCCAGGAGAAGGAGAACUUGAUUUGUCAACUGCAUAAGCUGGGUGGCAGGCUGGCAGUUCAAGGCCGUCAGAGGAGUAUUUUGAGGCCAUCCAGCUGUUGGAGGGGGAGUUUGCAAGAUACAGCAACACCUUCUGGCCUCACUCCAACAUCACCAACCAUUUGGAGAUGACUCUAGAGACUCUGGGUGCUUUCAAUAGCCUCCUCAGCACCCAUCCAGAACAUGCCAGCCUCAUAGAAUCGAUCUCCAUCAAGAAAUUUGUGAUAUGCAGGCUGGGUGCUGAAAUUAGACAGAGAAACAGGGCUCUGAGCUACAACAAAUUAACAGCUGACAGGAAACUGUCUACAUUUACAUCAUAGGUCGUUUAAAUCUUUAAAUGUUCAGUAGUUAUACUACUUAUAAUUAUAAUACUAAUAUAUAUAAGUAGUGAUUAUGAUACAGCUUGUGUCAAGAUGAUUUACGACUUUGACCUUUGACCUUUUGACAGGUUGAACUUCCGGUGACCUUAUGAUGGAUGGUUUGAACUUUCCGAAUGAGUUCAUGGGUUAACCUAUGACCCCUCCCCAGGCAUCGCAUGUAUC